GAUUAUGGCUCAGGAUGAACGCUAGCGACAGGCUAACACAUGCAAGUCGAGGGGCAGCAUAAAAGUAGCAAUACUUGGUGGCGACCGGCGCACGGGUGAGUAACGCGUAUGCAACCUACCUAUCAGAGGGGAAUAACCCGGCGAAAGUCGGACUAAUACCGCAUAAAACAGGGGCACCGCAUGGUGAUAUUUGUUAAAGAAAUUCGCUGAUAGAUGGGCAUGCGUUCCAUUAGGUAGUUGGUGAGGUAACGGCUCACCAAGCCGACGAUGGAUAGGGGAACUGAGAGGUUGGUCCCCCACACCGGUACUGAGACACGGACCAGACUCCUACGGGAGGCAGCAGUGAGGAAUAUUGGUCAAUGGGCGGGAGCCUGAACCAGCCAAGUCGCGUGAAGGAAGAAGGAUCUAUGGUUCGUAAACUUCUUUUGCAGGGGAAUAAAGUGCAGGACGUGUCCUGUUUUGUAUGUACCCUGAGAAUAAGGAUCGGCUAACUCCGUGCCAGCCGCCGC
rnacentral:rRNA from 1 species